UGUAAAUCCCAAAAUAUCUCAAAAUUCAUCUCUCUCACACCUACUCCUCUCAUCUCAAAAUCUGUCUCUCCAUUCCAAAUUUCAAAAUUUGAACACAGACCCUCUCUCUCUCCCUCUCUCUCUCCAAUUCUUUGUUUCCAUUUCUCACUCCGACCACUCCAACCAUUGUUCUCCUGCAGCUCGGUUGCCAUUGUUCACUCCGGCAGAUUGGUUUACUCUGACCAUCUAGCAUCGCAAGGUAGAGGCUUUGAAAUGUGCAUUAUCACUUGCAGCCUGGGUAAGAAUCUGGAGAAAUGAAGGCAUUAUGGAUGAUAACAGGUUGAGUACAACAUUGGAUGAAGUUAGUGUAUACCCCAUACCUGCAGCACUUUACCUCAUAAAAAAUUUGCUUCAGGUUUGUUAAUUUCCAGCAGGUUGACAAUAGGUGUAAUAUUUGAUCAGGUGUGUCCAAUACGUUGUGUCCGAAGCAUUGUGUUUGCUUAAUAGGCUCAUAUUAGGCAGCUUGAGAACUUCCUUAAGACCUUCCAUAUCGAAACAUUGUGGUAAAUAUUUUAUUUGUAUUCUUACUUAAGCAAUGAUUGAUCAUUGUUAUUUUGUGAUUAUUUCUUUGGUUGGUUGUGUUGGAAAUUUAUAAGUAUGGUUUUUUUAAAAAAAAUUCUUACAAUUA